rnacentral:rRNA from 1 species
UAGGGAAUCUUCGGCAAUGGGGGCAACCCUGACCGAGCAACGCCGCGUGAGUGAAGAAGGUUUUCGGAUCGUAAAGCUCUGUUGUAAGAGAAGAACGUGUGUGAGAGUGGAAAGUUCACACAGUGACGGUAACUUACCAGAAAGGGACGGCUAACUACGUGCCAGCAGCCGCGGUAAUACGUAGGUCCCGAGCGUUGUCCGGAUUUAUUGGGCGUAAAGCGAGCGCAGGCGGUUUAAUAAGUCUGAAGUUAAAGGCGGUGGCUUAACCAUUGUUCGCUUUGGAAACUGUUAAACUUGAGUGCAGAGGGGGAGAGUGGAAUUCUAUGUGUAGCAGUGAAAUGCGUAGAUAUAUGGAGGAACACCGGUUGCGAAAGCGGCUCUAUGGUCUGUAACUGACGCUGAGGAUUGAAAGCGUGGGGAGCAAACAGG